rnacentral:rRNA from 1 species
GGGAUAGCCGCCCGAAAGGACGGGUAAUACCGGAUACCCCGGGGUGCCGCAUGGCACCCCGGCUAAAGCCCCGACGGGAGGGGAUGGCUCCGCGGCCCAUCAGGUAGACGGCGGGGUGACGGCCCACCGUGCCGACAACGGGUAGCCGGGUUGAGAGACCGACCGGCCAGAUUGGGACUGAGACACGGCCCAGACUCCUACGGGAGGCAGCAGUGGGGAAUCUUGCGCAAUGGGGGGAACCCUGACGCAGCGACGCCGCGUGCGGGACGGAGGCCUUCGGGUCGUAAACCGCUUUCAGCAGGGAAGAGUCAAGACUGUACCUGCAGAAGAAGCCCCGGCUAACUACGUGCCAGCAGCCGCGGUAAUACGUAGGGGGCGAGCGUUAUCCGGAUUCAUUGGGCGUAAAGCGCGCGUAGGCGGCCCGGCAGGCCGGGGGUCGAAGCGGGGGGCUCAACCCCCCGAAGCCCCCGGAACCUCCGCGGCUUGGGUCCGGUAGGGGAGGGUGGAACACCCGGUGUAGCGGUGGAAUGCGCAGAUAUCGGGCGGAACACCGGUGGCGAAGGCGGCCCUCUGGGCCGAGACCGACGCUGAGGCGCGAAAGCUGGGGGAGCGAACAGGAUUAGAUACCCUGGUAGUCCCAGCCGUAAACGAUAGACGCUAGGUGUGGGGGGACGAUCCCCCCGUGCCGCAG